GUGCUUGCUUCGGCAGCACAUAUACUAAAAUUGGAAUGAUAGAAGAUUAGCAUGGCCUCUGCACAAGGAUGACAUGCAAAUUUGUGAAGUGCUCCAUACUGCA
rnacentral:snRNA from 1 species